rnacentral:misc_RNA from 1 species
UGGAAGAAAUGUGAUUCUACAUAAAAAUUUGUCUUUUGGAUGAUUAAGUAAACUUUUUGGUAUAAUUGAUGAAGUAAAUUGUAACUUGAAAUGAUUUAUUAUUUGGGUUUCUAGGAAAAUCAAAAACUUUCACCGUGAUAAGACUUUUGUAUCUUCUCGAAUUCCCCUUCUAAUCGGCAUUGGGGGAAUUCAAAGAAAAUACUCGA